UCUCCCUGACUCCUUGAGAGUCCUGAAGGAACGUUGAAGACGACGACGUUGAUAGGCCGGGUGUGUAAGCGCAGCGAUGCGUUGAGCUAACCGGUACUAAUGAACCGUGAGGCUUAACCUUACAACGCCGAAGGUGUUU
rnacentral:rRNA from 1 species